CCACCGCGUUGGGCGGUGACUGGAGAGUGGAGCUCCUCCUCUGAGCCGUCAGAAGAGUCUCCGAGAGCUGGCGGCCGCCACCGCGUUUUUCGAGAGGGCCCGGAGAAAGCUAACGCUGUUCUGUCAGCGGAGCUUCACGUUCUCCUGAGAAGUGAUCAAUGUGUGACUUAAGCCCGUUCUGGGAAAGCACGUAGGAGCGGCCCGUACCAGAUGGAAAGUUAAAGUUAACUGAGGAGGGAAGGAACACAGAUCAAUCUAACGUAGCUUUCCGGCUGGUAGCUCUUACCUACAGUUUAGUGAUGCGACCUGACCGGACUGGGUGGCGAGGCCGCGUAGCAAAAUGAACGAUGUAUAUUUUGCUCAGGUUAAAGAAAGUUUCUGACGAACCUGAAAUGAGACGGAAUCAGAAGUGACGCAUUAUUUAUUGGAACAACAUGCUGUUAGGUUUCUACCGUCUGUGGAACAUGGAAUCACACCAGAAUAUGUUGGCACAACAGGCCAGUCAGACCGGUUCUUCUUUAGAUCCAGAACCCGUCCAACCAGUCUGCAUCAAAGGCUAGCCCAACAAGCUGCAGCGGCUCAGCUCUGCUAAGCUUGUACCAGGUGAGUUAUCCCCACCUCCCGUCAACUCCCAACAAACUGCUCAGAAUGUUGUAGCCUCCAGCAAAAUAAUUCAGAGUUCUAGUGGGAGGGGUAGAUCUGUGUCAGGUACAGCAAGCGUCCAUUGUUAUACACCUCUCAUUGUAGAUAACUUGAGAGUCUGUCAUCCUCAGAGGUAGGUAAUCCUUUUUUAAAUGUACUCCAUGGCUCUGCAGACUAAAGCCUCUAGAAAGAGAUUACAAUGAAGAAGAAUCCAUAAUGCCUGACCUUUCCACUAGUCCACUUGGUCUAGCUCAGCCUUGAGGGGGUGUUGUUAUUCCCCACAAGGGCAGUGGCCCUGAGAGUUUGAAGGAAGCAUUUCUAGAGGGAGGAAAACAAGAUGUGAAUUGACCAGACAUUUGUCUGGGUGUGUUAUCUUUCUUGUACUCAAAUGAUCCUCAUACCAUUCCAGUUUUAAAAUUGGAAAAACUCCUAUUUCUACAUACUAGGACAACUUGGAGAGGUUUUACUUUGGAUAUUCAACAGUUGAACACAAAUUCAUGAUAACUACUAUAUGCCAGGAACUGUGCCAGGUAAAGGGUUACAAUGGUGAAAAAAGACAAAUUUAGUAAGAGAUGGGAGCAAUGUCCAGAUUCCCAGUUAAACACGUCUACUAAUCAUUUGGAUGGAGGAAGUGAGCAACACAAGAUCACAUUUUGACAAAAAUUGGUUUGUAUUAAGAGAGAUCAUGUGAGAUUUGUUUUUACUCUCUCAUGAUACACAUUUAGAAACAGUCUUUUCUAUCUGCUGAUGGAGUGAUUCUACAACUUUCCUGCUUAAGUAUAACCUGAAGUUUAUACUGGACCUCACCUCCAGAGAUUACUGGACCUUACCUCCAGAGAUUCUGAUUGAGUAGGUCUGGGGUGUUAUCCAAGUAUUGAUACUUACAGCGAUCCUGCUGCAGUUGUUGCAGGGACAUGGGCUUAGCCUCUGGUGCUCAGCUUCUUUUCUAUUUUUGUACCUAAUUAAAUAGACUAUAUUAAUCACAAGUUGCCAUAUUCAUCUUUAUAUCUCUAGUGUCUAGCACAGACACUUAGAAAGUGUUUAAUAAAUGCUUAUUGAGGAAAUACCUACUCAGGGACAACACUUGCUAGAUCCCAGGGGUAUCACAACUAGUAAGUGUUAUAUGAAUCAAACUGCAUUAAGAACUGUAAUUAGAAUAACUCAGGUAGUAGCGCAGAAAAGGGAGCAAGUGCGACUGAGUAUAGGAGAUUACAAAGGAGAUUGGUUUAGAGACUUUCCUUUUUAACCAUGACCAAAGAUUGCUAUCUGCAGGAUAACAAAAGGUUGAGGGAACAAUAAAAAGAAUGCCUUUGAUAGAAGUAACAAAAGUUUUAGGUACCUGAGGACACCAUGACCUCAACACUUAGUAAUAAGGUUAUUUUCUAUAGCAGGUGUCAGCAGAUUUUUCCAUAAAGGAUCAGAGAUUAAGUAUUUUAGGGUUUGUGGGCCAGAUUGUUUCUGUUUCAGGUAUUCAACUCUAACAUUGUAGCACAAAAGCAGAUAUAAAGAGUAGUCAAUGAAUGGGGUGGCUGUGUUCCAAUAAAAUUUUAUAAACAAGUGACAGGCUGGAUUUAACCUCUGCUCUAGAGUGUAGCUUGUGAAAAUUAGCAAGUUUGCAUAAUUGGUUGGGAAAAUAGGGUUGGAAGUCAAAAAGUCUAUCUCUUCCACAGAAUCCUGCAAAAUUUCAGGAAUUGGAGGCAUAAGGUACCUCUAAAUAGUCUUUGGGUAUUGGGCAGGGGUGGGGGGAAUUUGAAGUAGAGGAUUGGUUGAAAAUAUGCUUAAGCAACAGUUUGCUCCCUAGAUCCCUUCCCCAGCCCAGGAGCCUGGAGACUGCCCCUCUUCAACGUUGAUGAAAGACAGGUAGGACUUGUUGAUUCAUGCUGGGAGAGAUUGUCCCAGGUUGGUUUUGGACUUGAGAAUACUAGGCAGAGCUGGGGGUAAAUGGUAAAGUAAUGAGAUUGUAUUAGUUUCAUAAGGCUGCUGUAACAAAUUGCCAGAAAUUUAGUGGUUUAAAAGGACACAUAUUUAUUAUCUUACAGAUCUGGGGGCGGAAGUCCAAAAUGGGUCUCACUGGGUUGAAAUCAGCAGGGUUGACAUUCUAAGAUAUAGAGAGUCAGCCAGGUUGAAUUCUUUUCUGGAAGCUCUAGGGGAGAAUCUUCUUGUCUUUCCCAGCUUCUAAAGGCCGCCUGUGUUUUUGGCUCAUGGCCCCUUCCUAUCUUCAAAGCCAGCAAUGGCCAGUCAACUCUUUCUUACAUUGCAUCAUUCUGACAUUGCUUCUGCGCCUUCCUCUUUCAUAUUUAAAUCCAGUUGUAUAAUCCAGAAUAAUGUCCCCAUUUUAAGGUCAACUGAUUAUCAACCUUAAUUUUAUCUGCAAUCUUAAUUCUCCUCUACUAUGUAACAGAACAUAUUCACAGGUUCCCAGGAUUAGGAUGUGGACAUCUUUGAGAGACCAUUAUUCUGCCUACCACAGAGAUUAGGUCAAAGUUUCCAAAUUGAAUAGUGAGAUGGCCAGAUCCAUUCCGCUGCAUGGCUUCUGAAUGCUGAUAACGAGGUUCAUACUCCUCACUCUGAAAGCAGAAAACUGGAGAAUUUCUCUCCAAGAAACUCUCAAGACUCUCAUCACCCUAAGACAGUGGUUAUUAACUAGGGAUGAUUUUGCCCCUAGGGGCCAUUUGGCAAUAUCUGGAGAAAUUUUUGAUUGUAAACAACUGGGGAAAGUAGAAGAGAGUUGUGCUACUGGCAUCUAUUGGAUAAGGGCCAGGGAUGCUACUAAACAUCUUACAAUGCACAGGAAAGCACAUCCUCUACCUCCCUCACUGCUUCCCUACAUAAUUUUCUGAUCCAAAAUGUUAGUAGUGCCAAAGAUGAGAAACCCUACUCUAAUGUUAAGCCUACCAGUCAAUAUCACCCUAAUAUAAAUAAAUAAGUCCCACCUAGGCACACAGAGUUGCAAAUCAGUAUUUUUAUGCCUCAUUCUAAGAUACAGAGAGUAUCUAACAUGAAAGAGACAAAAAGAAACUAGUAGAUAAAAAGAACUUACAGAAAAUAGUGUAGGGAACAGAAUAAUAAUAAUUUAAAAUAUCCACUAUAAGAAUUUCUUCAAAGAAACAAGAGAAGAUACUGAAUACAUGAAACAGGAACAGAAGUCUAUCUAAAAGUGGUACUUUUGGAGAAUAAAAAAGAGAUAUUGGAAAGUAAAAAUAUGGUGGCAGGCAGAAAUAAAGCCAACAGGAGUUGGAAGAUAAAAUUGAGGAAAUCUACCGGAAGUAAAAUUAAGAAAGUACUGAAGGAUGUGUUACAAAAUAAGAAUAAAUUGAAAAAGAUGAAAUAUGGAAUCCAGAAGUAGCUCCAUUUCUUCUCUUUGCUUAAAGUUCAACAUGGCCACCAGUCCCAAGACCACAGCACUCUAUAGGGUCACUGCACACUAGUAAGUUAUUGAAGACUCUGUGAUUUUUACUUCAAAUUCACAUUGCCUAUGAUUGAGGGAAGAAAAGGGAAGUGGGGCAGAGGGGGAGAGAGAGAGAGAGAGAAGAGGAGAGAAAGAGAUGUGAAUAUGAUUAGUUUUUGGUUUUAGAUUUAAAUUUAAAAGAUUUUCUUAAAUGCAAGUAUUCACUUUACCCUUUACCAAGGGUUAAUGUUCACAGAUCAUAAAAUGAGGAAGGCAGUCAAACUGGUACAAGUACAAACGUGCACCUGCAGAAAAAGUUUGCAUAAACAUUCAUAUCUGCCAAUAUUCAUAAGUAAAGGUUUGCAACAUUCUAUCCAACAGCUAGUAAAACUUGAUUACAAUGAAGUUAAGAGCAUGUUUUACCUGAAUAAACCCAAAUCAGGAAAACCUGAUUUUGAGCUUGCCUCAAUUGUCCUUAGAGUAUGGAAACAUGGAUUAGUUAUUUAUUUAACAUCCUGAGCCUCAAUUGCUUCAUUUAUUAAAUGAGGGAGUGUGAUUGGAUAUAUUCUAAACAUCUAUUCAGCUCAACACUUUUAUUCGAAAGUUCUUUUGGGCAAGUGAACAAUUCAAAAAAAUAUGGGAGCAAAAGCAAGAUAGACCAAUCAAGGAGACAUUUUACAGAAGAGAAAUUAUAAAAUGCAAGUUAAUUUUUGGUUGUAUAUUCUCCAAAAGUUGACACUGAAAUAUGGAUUCACAUUCAAGUGAUUUAUUAGAAAUAUGCUCCGAUAUGAAACUAGUUAGGGAGUGAGGAAGGAAGGACCAGAAAGAAGAAUAAGAAAAGCAAGGGUAUGAUUUCAGCUCAGCCUGGUGCCAGGGAGCUCUAGACCAUAAAUUACAAGGAAAGAAUUUAUCCCACCUAGAGGCAAAGGAAAAGGCUUUCAUACUCCUGAACCAUUCACUGCCUACUGGCUGCUCCAGGGAUUUGUAAACUUCCAGGCACUUUCAGCUCUCCAUGAGAAGUGUUUCUAGUAACCUGAGAACGUUCCUUUGAAGAAGGUUGUAGGUGCUAUAACAUUAAGAGUGAAGCAUUAAUAUUCCUGCUUCCAGCCAAGAUGAAGAUAUAGGAAUCAGAUUUAUCCUACCACCUAAAAAAGCAACAAGGGUAAAAUGUAUAAAACAGUGGUUUUCAAGACAUUGUGCAUCAGUCAACAAAGAACAGUUAUCUCUAGAGAGAGAGUAAACAAACAAGGUGAGUCCCACAAUCACUCCAGCUUACUGCCAGGAGAGAGUAUCCAGGCCAUGGAGAAGAGAGGGAUUCCUCAGGUAGAGUUUAGUGGUCUUAUGGAGGUUGUCAGAUUGGAUAAAAAUGCAAAACCCAACUGUGUACUCCCCUCAAUAAACAUAUUUUUAGAUAUAAAGAUGCAGAUAGGUUAAAAGUAAAAGGAUCAAAAAAAUAUGCCAUGCUAAUACUAAUCAAAAGACAUCUGGAGUGGCUAUAUUAAUCAGACAAAAUAGGUUUUAGAUCAGAGAAUAUUACUAAGGACAAAAAGGGUGAUUUCAAAAUGAUAAAGAGGUGAAUUCAUCAAGGAAACCUAAUAAUCCUACACAUUUAUGUAUCUAAUCAUGUAAAUAAAAAAUAUGUGAAGCAAAGGCUGAUAGAACAGAAAGGAUAACAGAACAAAUCAAUAAUUAUAUUUAGUAGCUGUAUUUGGAGAUUUCAACAGCCCUUACUCAAAAAUUGAUACAUAAAUAGACAGGAAAUCAGUAAGAGUGUAGAAGACAACACUAUCAAUAAUCUUGAUUUAAUUGACAUUUGUAGAUCCCUCAGCCUAAAAACAACUGAAUGCACAUGUUUCUUCAAAUGUACCUGGAACAUUUACCAAGUUAGACCAUUUUCUAUGUUCUAAAAUGUCUCAAAUUUAAAUAGAUUCAAGUCAUACGAAGUAUGUUUUUGAGCUCAGGAGAAUUAAAUUAGAAGUCAAUACAAGAAUAAUGUGUGGAAAAUCUCCAAAUAUUUGUAAACUAAGUAACACACUCUUAAAUAACUCAUGGGUCAGUGAUGGAAUAAAAUGGGAAAUUAGGAAGUAUUUUGAGAUAAAUGGUAAUAAAAACACAACAUACUAAAAUUUGUGAGGUAAAAUAUAUAGUUAAAUUCAGAAUGCUCUAAUGUUGUAAUGGUGGUAGGUAACUCAUUUAUAAAUACAGUAAGAAGGUUAAAAGAUAAAAGUAUUAAAAAUAACUAUAAUUAUUUGUUAAUGGAUACACAAGGUAAAAAGAUGUAAAUUGUGAUAUCAAAAACAAAAUGUUGGCUGGGGGG
ensembl:lncRNA